rnacentral:rRNA from 1 species
CGUGUAGGCGGUGUGGUAAGUUGGGCGUGAAAUCCCCGGGCUUAACUCGGGGGGGCCGUUCAAGACUGCCAUGCUAGGGUGCGGGAGAGGGCAGUGGAACUCCCGGUGUAGCGGUGAAAUGCGUAGAUAUCGGGAGGAACACCUGCGGCGAAGGCGGCUGCCUGGACCGUAACCGACGCUGAGGCGCGAAAGCUAGGGGAGCAAACAGGAUUAGAUACCCUGGUAGUCCUAGCCCUAAACGUUGAACACUGGGUGUAGCCCCUCACGGGGCUGUGCCGAAGCUAACGCAUUAAGUGUUCCGCCUGGGGAGUACGGUCGCAAGGCUGAA